rnacentral:rRNA from 1 species
UGGGGAAUUUUGGACAAUGGGCGAAAGCCUGAUCCAGCAAUGCCGCGUGUGUGAAGAAGGCCUUCGGGUUGUAAAGCACUUUUGUCCGGAAAGAAAUCCUUGGCUCUAAUACAGUCGGGGGAUGACGGUACCGGAAGAAUAAGCACCGGCUAACUACGUGCCAGCAGCCGCGGUAAUACGUAGGGUGCAAGCGUUAAUCGGAAUUACUGGGCGUAAAGCGUGCGCAGGCGGUUUGCUAAGACCGAUGUGAAAUCCCCGGGCUCAACCUGGGAACUGCAUUGGUGACUGGCAGGCUAGAGUAUGGCAGAGGGGGGUAGAAUUCCACGUGUAGCAGUGAAAUGCGUAGAGAUGUGGAGGAAUACCGAUGGCGAAGGCAGCCCCCUGGGCCAAAUACUGACGCUCAUGCACGAAAAGCGUGGGGAGCAAAACAGGAUUAGAUACCCUGGUAGUCCACGCCCUAAAACGAUGUCAACUAGUUGUUGGGGAUUCAUUUCCUAGUAACGUAGCUAACGCGUGAAGUUGACCGCCUGGGGAGUACGGUCGCAAGAUUAAAAACUCAAAUGAAUUGACGGGGUCAUAGCUGUUUCCU